AACGCACAUUGCGCCCGCUAGUAUUCUGGCGGGCAUGCCUGUUCGAGCGUCAUUUCAACCCUCAAGCGCUGCUUGGUGUUGGGGUCCUACAGAGGUAGGCUCUGAAAAUCAGUGGCAGGCUCGCUAGACCUCUGAGCGUAGUAAAACCCUCGCUCUAGGGCGUAUAGCGGGCUUUAGCCGUGAAAAUUACCCAUGAUUAAAAGGUUGACCUCGGAUCAGGUAGGAAUACCCGCUGAACUUAA
rnacentral:misc_RNA from 1 species